GUAUUUGUCAUCAAACAGAUUGGCCGGGCGCAGUUCGGCAUAUCAGCUCAGCGGCCGUUGGGGCUCUUUUUCGCCACCGGAGUGCACUUUGGGAGUCAUCGGACCAGAUGACAAGAUCAUCAUCAUCAGCCAGAGCUCCUAUCCCAAGAAUGCAGACGAACUGUCAAUCCGUCCUCGGGCAACUUGAAGUUAGAGAGAUGGAAUCGAAUGAGUAGGGGCAGGUUUCCUCUUCUUUCUUUGGUCUCACAGUUGGGCUUUAAUCCAUCUGUUCUUAUUUUCCCUCGAUGACAUAAAUACCAUGGGCUAGUCUUAGCAUACUGUUUUCACCAUACUGAAAAGUGUCGUAUCGACUACACUAAUCUUGGUAUAGAAAACAAUUAAGUAUGUCCAUUCCUAACUCGUAAUUGAUAUUUCUUUCUUGUAGCUCUUUGUUUUGUGUUCCCCUUGCAUAGGCCUAAGGAAGCCAAGAGACUCGCCUGUGUCUCAUCUGCUUUACAGAUUCGUCUCUCAGUUUUACUGCUAGAUGACUCGAGAGAGAACUUUGCAGAAUUCCUCCAGCUUGGUGGCGGAUGUCAGUUUCCUGGACUUGAGCUUAAUGGAAGAUUUAUCCCAGUUCACUCCAAAUUUGUGAAGAAUAGAGAUUCAUAUUUAUGAUCAAAUGAGAUGCAAUUCCUUUAAGAGAGGGCACAUCCUAUUUUUCUGUACACCAAGCAAUGUUUGAGGAGAGAUUCUCAAGGACGUGGGAUUCUUCAUUCGAGUAUGACACGACACAUACUUUGCUCCUGGAGGAUGAAGGUUUUUGGUUCUUUCAACCAUGUCAUUUUUCAUCUCAGACACUUGUAUAGUGACUGUCAGGUUUAGCAAGUAAAGUACGUCGAAGACUGUGGCAUCAGAUUCUGUAGAUAAUGCUCCUUCGAGGCUCCCUAUCAUUCACAUUAAGCAAAUGAUGACAAGUUUUAACCCUAUCAUCCUCUCAAACAAGAAAGUCGAAAGUGAUAGAUAGAGAUGAACAAAGUUCUACUUGUGUCUCCUUAAGAACAGGUUCAGAAGCUGAUUCCAAGCUCUUCUAGAACAGAAAUAGAAUAUCAUGGUGAAGAAGAAAAUAUUCAAGAAUUUCAAGCUGAAAAUUGAACAUUGUACAGAAGAUUUGAUGGUG